UCGGAGAUUUUGUUCACAUCAGCAGAGUGCUCACACCGUUCUAGAGGCUCAACUGAAACACAAGUCUUCUGAUAUAUACAACAUUCACUUACCGAAUUCCCAGGAAGAAACCCAGUGAAAAACUAAAGAAAAAGAAUCUCUUACGAUAACAACAAAUUAAAGAUAUAACACGGAAGUAAUACUUGAGUUAAAGGAAACUUAAGUCCCCCAAAAUUAAUACAGGUGGACUUUUUUAAAUCCGAUUUCAUAAUGGAAAACCAAACCGAUUCAAAAGAGGAACAAUUUUUCAGGCGAAAGCCAAAAACAGAGGAAGUCGAGAAUGUUAGGGUUGAUAUUAACAGUUUAGCUCUUGGUAAAAGACUUAAAGUAUUUAUUUGGUGCGUGAUGUGCAUUGAUAUUUUUAUUUUGUUGUGUUUUCUAGCAUUUCUAAUAUUCAUUUUCUAUUGGUUGUUUUUUUAACAGCAAUUUUCAAUAAAGUAUAGCAAAUAUAUUCCAAAUUGCAUAUUAUUAUUCCUGUAUGUGUAGUUUUUUUUAAGAUAUGUAAAAUAAAUAACGUAUUUCCAAACCGUAA